rnacentral:tRNA from 1 species
AUUUAAAUAGUUUAAUUAAAAAUAUUGAUUUGUGGAGUCAAUGAUGUAAUAUUACUUUAGAUA